CGUGUAGGCGGUCAAGUAAGUGGAAUGUGAAACGCCUCGGCUUACCCGAGGACCUGCAUCCCAAACUGCUUGGCUUGAGUAUGGGAGAGGAUGAGGGAAUUCCUGGUGUAGCGGUGAAAUGCGUAGAUAUCAGGAGGAACACCGGUGGCGAAAGCGCUCAUCUGGCCCAAUACUGACGCUGAGGCGCAAAGCUAGGGAGCAAACG
rnacentral:rRNA from 1 species